GCGAUGAAGCGGGAGGUUGCGGCGUUAUACGUCGGUUUUUCCGUGGAGUAUGUCCGAUUUUAAACCGGGCGACA
rnacentral:ncRNA from 1 species